rnacentral:rRNA from 1 species
GUUUGAUCAUGGCUCAGAUUGAACGCUGGCGGUAGGCUUAACACAUGCAAGUCGUGCGAGAAAGUAUCUUCGGAUAUGAGUAGAGCGGCGGACGGGUGAGUAACGCGUAGGAAUCUACCUAGUAGAAGGGGAUAGCCCGGGGAAACCCGGAUUAAUACCGUAUACCUCCUUCGGGAGAAAGAAGGCCUCUCUUUGAAGCUUUCGCUACUAGAUGAGCCUGCGUAAGAUUAGCUUGUUGGUGAGGUAAAGGCUCACCAAGGCGACGAUCUUUAGCUGGUCUGAGAGGACGAUCAGCCACAUUGGGACUGAGACACGGCCCAGACUCCUACGGGAGGCAGCAGUGGGGAAUAUUGGACAAUGGGCGCAAGCCUGAUCCAGCCAUACCGCGUGUGUGAAGAAGGCCUUCGGGUUGUAAAGCACUUUCAGUCAGGAGGAAAGGUUAGUAGUUAAUACCUGCUAGCUGUGACGUUACUGACAGAAGAAGCACCGGCUAACUCCGUGCCAGCAGCCGCGGUAAUACGGAAGGUGCAAGCGUUAAUCGGAAUUACUGGGCGUAAAGCGCGCGUAGGUGGUUUGUUAAGUUGGAUGUGAAAGCCCUGGGCUCAACCUAGGAACUGCAUCCAAAACUAACUCACUAGAGUACGAUAGAGGGAGGUAGAAUUCAUAGUGUAGCGGUGGAAUGCGUAGAUAUUAUGAAGAAUACCAGUGGCGAAGGCGGCCUCCUGGAUCUGUACUGACACUGAGGUGCGAAAGCGUGGGUAGCGAACAGGAUUAGAUACCCUGGUAGUCCACGCC